rnacentral:rRNA from 1 species
UAGGGAAUCUAUCGGCAAUGGACGAAAGUCUGACCGAGCAACGCCGCGUGAGUGAAGAAGGUUUUCGGAUCGUAAAACUCUGUUGGUAGAGAAGAACGUUGGUGAGAGUGGAAAGCUCAUCAAGUGACGGUAACUACCCAGAAAGGGACGGCUAACUACGUG